GACGAACCGUGCGAACGUUGUUCGGAAUCACUGGGCUUAAAGGGUGCGUAGGCGGGUAGGUAAGUCAGUGGUGAAAUCUUCGAGCUUAACUCGGAAACUGCCUUUGAUACUAUCUAUCUUGAAUAUUGUGGAGGUAAGCGGAAUAUGUCAUGUAGCGGUGAAAUGCUUAGAUAUGACAUAGAACACCUAUUGCGAAGGCAGCUUACUACGCAUAUAUUGACGCUGAGGCACGAAAGCGUGGGGAUCAAACAGG
rnacentral:rRNA from 1 species